CAUUCAUUGAAGCUUCAGCGACCCAUAAAGCCCGAGAAGUGAAGCCCUCUUCAAUCCUCUACCUCUCUCGCUGUUGUGUCCAGCCUGCUGCCUGCCUGCUGUGUUGCCUCAAAGAAGGGUCGGGGGCACUUGAUGUGGAGGAUGGCGACAAGGAGAAGUGAGGAUUUCGUGAGGACAGAAACAACGGGAGAGAUAAAACAUACUCCUCUGGUGCAUUGAAUUUAGACUGUUUGAUGUUCUGCUGCUGGUCAAUUCAGUUUCCGUGCCCCGGUUUCAUGACGGGAGUUGUCCGUCAGGGGGUAAGUUAUAGGCGCACGCAAGCGCGCAUGUGCUCGUGCAUCUCGGUGUGUGGACACGGGAUGCUCUCUUUGCAGUUCAGAGUAAGAGCGAUCAUAUAUGGCUUGAGAUAUUGCAUAGGAAAAGGAUCUACCAGAUCAUCAAUGCAACACAGGACAUCUGAAUUUAACCUUAUCUUUCUCUUUUCUUUUGAAAGGGAUAGAGGAGUGGAAAGGCGUACUGCUUGAUCAGAAACUAAGGAGUUUGCAUCAUUAUUAGCUGCCAGUAUAGCUUAUUUUGAGCUUAACCACAUACCUGAUUGUUGUGUAUGAAAGCAUAAUCCUAUCAAAUACUCUUCUUUUUUGCUUGGGUGUU
rnacentral:rRNA from 1 species